rnacentral:lncRNA from 1 species
AUGUAGGAAGAAUAAAAGAAAAAUACUAUUUGAAAUUUCUUUCGAACCCUCAGUAUAUCAUUUGAUUAUUGUAAUGAUCUAUAGAAUUACUUAUAUUUUCUAAACUGUCUAUAGUGGACAAUCAAUUGACCAAUAUAUAUAAUUCUUCCAUCCGUAUAAAAAUAAAUAAAUGCAUGGAUACAUUAGAAUAUGUAUAUCAAUCAACUGAUGGGUCUAUCGCUCCAUAUAAUGUAAAUUUUAUUAAAAUUAACAUAUAAUUAAUGCUGCCCCAUACCUUCCAUC